rnacentral:rRNA from 1 species
GUGGGGAAUAUUGGACAAUGGGCGAAAGCCUGAUCCAGCCAUGCCGCGUGUGUGAAGAAGGUCUUCGGAUUGUAAAGCACUUUAAGUUGGGAGGAAGGGCAGUAAGUUAAUACCUUGCUGUUUUGACGUUACCGACAGAAUAAGCACCGGCUAACUUCGUGCCAGCAGCCGCGGUAAUACGAAGGGUGCAAGCGUUAAUCGGAAUUACUGGGCGUAAAGCGCGCGUAGGUGGUUUUGUAAGUUGGAGGUGAGAUCCCCGGGCUCAACCUGGGAACUGCCUCCAAAACUGCAUGACUAGAGUGCGGUAGAGGGUAGUGGAAUUUCCUGUGUAGCGGUGAAAUGCGUAGAUAUAGGAAGGAACACCAGUGGCGAAGGCGACUACCUGGACUGAUACUGACACUGAGGUGCGAAAGCAUGGGGAGCAAACAGGAUUAGAAACCCGAGUAGUCC